rnacentral:rRNA from 1 species
AUUGAACGCUGGCGGCAUGCCUUACACAUGCAAGUCGAACGGCAGCAUGGGUGCUUGCACCUGAUGGCGAGUGGCGAACGGGUGAGUAAAGCAUCGGAACGUACCCGGAAGUGGGGGAGAACGUAGCGAAAGUUACGCUAAUACCGCAUAUUCUGUGAGAAGGAAAGAGGGGGAUCGCAAGACCUCUCGCUUACUGAGGGGUCGGUGUCGGAUUAGCUAGUUGGUGAGGUAAAGGCUUACCAAGGCGACGAUCCGUAGCGGGUCUGAGAGGAUGAUCCGCCACACUGGGACUGAGACACGGCCCAGACUCCUACGGGAGGCAGCAGUGGGGAAUUUUGGACAAUGGGCGCAAGCCUGAUCCAGCCAUGCCGCGUGAGUGAAGAAGGCCUUCGGGUUGUAAAGCUCUUUUGUCAGGGAAGAAAUGGUUUGGGCUAAUACCCUGGAUCGAUGACGGUACCUGAAGAAUAAGCACCGGCUAACUACGUGCCAGCCGCCGCUGUAA